ACGAGCUGCAGCCAAGGGGUGUGGACAAAUGGAAAUUCGGCUGGCAACAAACAUCUGAUUGGUCUGAGGAAUGGUUGUCAAUGACAGAGGCCUUCUGCCUGCCAACAACUGUGUAUUUGGCUUCCAGGUAGCUGAACAGCUGUGGGUAUGAAUGUUUGGGCAGAUACUGUCAGACCUCCAAAAGUGCGAGUGAAACGAGUCCUGGAGCAGCAUGAGGGGAAAUGAGUCCUGCAGCAGUGUGCAUGGAAGUGAGUCCUGGAGCAGCACGAGGGGAAGCGAGUCCCAAUGCAGCACAAGGGGAAACAAGCCUUGGAGCAGCAUGAGGGAAACAAGUCUUGGUGCAGCGUGAGGGAAAGCGAGUCCCGGAGCAGUGCAACUUACCUUGGUGCAGCCGAGUGCCGGUGCAGAGUGGAUUGGAGGCUUGGAACAGAGCGGGACUGUUGUUGGGCUGGGGCCUAGGCAGUCAAAUCACGUGUGGAACUACUGCUGUUUGGAAUUCUUUACUGAAUUGUAAUGUCAAUCUAACUAUGUAUAUAACAAUAUAACGUUAACUAUGUUAUAACUGCCUUAUUUCUAACCUUUUUUUAAGACACUGUAAGUAAUGCUACUACUCCUUUUAUUCCUCUUUUGUAUGUAAGAUUUAUAAAUAAGUACUUGUACCUAAGAUAGUACCAUUAAAGGCAGCCAUUGUAAAAACUUUUCACUGUACUCCUGUAUUUCUGUAGUGGAGUACACGUGAUAAUAAAGGAUAGUCAAUUCUAUUUUAAGACA